CCUACGGGUGGCAGCAGUGAGGAAUAUUGGUCAAUGGGCGCGAGCCUGAACCAGCCAAGUCGCGUGAGGGAAGACGGACCUAUGGAUUGUAAACCUCUUUUGUCGGGGAGCAAAAGACGCAACGUGUGGCGUUCCGAGAGUACCCGAAGAAUAAGCAUCGGCUAACUCCGUGCCAGCAGCCGCGGUAAUACGGAGGAUGCGAGCGUUAUCCGGAUUUAUUGGGUUUAAAGGGUGCGCAGGCGGAAGAUCAAGUCAGCGGUAAAAUUGAGGGGCUCAACCUCUUCGAGCCGUUGAAACUGGUUGUCUUGAGUGAGCGAGAAGUAGGCGGAAUGCGUGGUGUAGCGGUGAAAUGCAUAGAUAUCACGCAGAACUCCGAUUGCGAAGGCAGCAUACCGGCGCUCAACUGACGCUCAUGCACGAAAGUGUGGGUAUCGAACAGGAUUAGAUACCCUUGUAGUC
rnacentral:rRNA from 1 species